rnacentral:rRNA from 1 species
ACGAACGCUGGCGGCGUGCUUAACAUAUGCAAGUCGAACGAUGAAGCUGGAGCUUGCUCCGGCGGAUUAGUGGCGAACGGGUGAGUAACACGUGAGCAAUCUGCCCUUGACUCUGGGAUAACUGCGGGAAACUGUAGCUAAUACCGGAUACGACACCUUCGGGCAUCCGAUGGGUGUGGAAAGAAUUUCGGUCAAGGAUGAGCUCGCGGCCUAUCAGCUAGUUGGUGAGGUAAUGGCUCACCAAGGCGACGACGGGUAGCCGGCCUGAGAGGGUGACCGGCCACACUGGGACUGAGACACGGCCCAGACUCCUACGGGAGGCAGCAGUGGGGAAUAUUGCACAAUGGGCGCAAGCCUGAUGCAGCAACGCCGCGUGAGGGACGAAGGCCUUCGGGUUGUAAACCUCUUUUAGCAGGGAAGAAGCGAAAGUGACGGUACCUGCAGAAAAAGCACCGGCUAACUACGUGCCAGCAGCCGCGGUAAUACGUAGGGUGCAAGCGUUGUCCGGAAUUAUUGGGCGUAAAGAGCUCGUAGGCGGUUUGUCACGUCUGCUGUGAAAAUCCGGGGCUCAACCUCGGACUUGCAGUGGGUACGGGCAGGCUAGAGUGCGGUAGGGGAGACGGGAAUUCCUGGUGUAGCGGUGGAAUGCGCAGAUAUCAGGAGGAACACCGAUGGCGAAAGGCACGUCUCUGGGCCCGUAACUGACGCUGAGGAGCGAAAGCGUGGGGAGCGAACAAGGAUUAGAUACCCUGGUAGUCCACGCCGUAAACGGUGGGGUGCUAGCUGUGGGCCACAUUCCACGUGGUCCGUGACGAAAGUUAACACAUUAAGCACCCCGCCUGGGGAGUACGGCCGCAAGGCUAAAACUCAAAGGAAUUGACGGGGGCCCGCACAAGCGGCGGAGCAUGCGGAUUAAUUCGAUGCAACGCGAAGAACCUUACCAAGGCUUGACAUAUAGAGGAAAAGUGCAGAAAUGUACUCCCCGCAAGGUCUCUAUACAGGUGGUGCAUGGUUGUCGUCAACUCGUGUCGUGAGAUGUUGGGUUAAGUCCCGCAACGAGCGCAACCCUCGUCCUAUGUUGCCAGCACGUAAUGGUGGGAACUCAUGGGAUACUGCCGGGGUCAACUCGGAGGAAGGUGGGGAUGACGUCAAAUCAUCAUGCCCCUUAUGUCUUGGGCUUCACGCAUGCUACAAUGGCCGGUACAGAGGGCUGCAAUACCGUAAGGUGGAGCGAAUCCCAAAAAGCCGGUCUCAGUUCGGAUUGAGGUCUGCAACUCGACCUCAUGAAGUCGGAGUCGCUAGUAAUCGUAGAUCAGCAACGCUACGGUGAAUACGUUCCCGGGCCUUGUACACACCGCCCGUCAAGUCACGAAAGUCGGUAACACCCGAAGCCGGUGGCCUAACCGUAAGGAGGGAACCAUCGAAGGUGGGAUUGGUGAUUGGGACUA